CAGAGAGAAUGUGAAAUAUUUUAUAAGUCCAAAACUGCCAUCUGCAACCUCUGUUGCUUAGCUACAUGAUACUUGAGAUACCUCAGGAUCAAGUUUCUGAUUCUAGGAAGCUUUACAACAGAGAGCAUUAUUUAAGAAAUGUGUCACAAUGAUCCUCUAAAAGGCUACGUUGAUAUCCAGUGAGAGGCCUGCCCAGACUCAAGCCCAGUACCUGUAUUGAUUCAAGUACCCUCUGAGGCCAGGGAGGGGUCAUCACAGAGUUGCUCUGAAAGGUAGGCUUUGGUAAGGAGCAAGAUUUAUCUUGAAUCCUGGUCCCAUAUUGACUGUGUGACCUUGGCCUAGUUAUUUAAUCUUUAUGAGCCUGUGUUCUCAUCUAUAAAAUUGGGGCAGAAAUACCUGGCAGAAAUUAUACGACACUGUGAAUAGAAAAUGCAGCACUGUACUUGGUACAUAGAAGUUAAUCAAUAAAUAAAAAACUGCAAUUUCCUGGCUCA
rnacentral:lncRNA from 1 species